rnacentral:misc_RNA from 1 species
UUUCCGUAGGUGAACCUGCGGAAGGGUCAUUACAGAGUUCAUGCCCUACCGGGUAGAUCUCCCACCCUAUGUUAUUAUUACUUUGUUGCUUUGGCGGGCCGUUAGGCUCCGGCCCGACUACCGGCCCCGGCUGGUAAGCGCCCGCCAGAGGACCCAAAACCCUGAAUAUUAGUGUCGUCUGAGUACUAUAUAAUAGUUAAAACUUUCAACAACGGGUCUCUUGGUUCUG